GGCGCGGUAGCCAAGUGGUAAGGCAGCGGUCUGCAAAACCGCUAUCGCGAGUUCGAUUCUCGCCCGCGCCU
rnacentral:tRNA from 1 species